CUCGCGAUAGUAUUGCAGCUCACCCCGCGCGCGCCGUUGUAUUUCAUUGUUGUGAACGCAUGCAAAUUGCGAUCCCAGUGCCGGGUCCGAGUAUCAAUUCUAACAGAAUUAAUUCGAGUGCAGUCAUUGUUUUUUGCACGUCACAAAAAACCCUCUAUACGCGGGCGGCAUCGUUUUGCCCCGCUACGAACAAUAUCCGGUUCAUACGAAUGGUUGCGCACGUCGCCGAUCUCUCCUCGCUGAUCAUCCCGUGUCUUCCUAUGGUGGUAAAAUCCCGUUCGAAAAUUGGACCGAACGGGCCGUGGAUUGUCGAGAUAUAACAUCGGCAAUCGAUCAUUUUAUUGAAAGAUGACUUUGCAGCCAUCGGCUCAACAUUGCGCCAAUAUCUUCCUGAGAAAGAUACUCCAUACAUUUUAGACAUCGAUCUUGACUUCUUUAGUACUAAAAAUCCGUUCAAAAAUCUUCUUGAGCGCGUAAACCUCUAUGAGAAGUUGACUCCUUUGUUUAUAUAUAGGAGGCCGGAAUCAAACGAUCCAGAGGUGAGUUU